CCUACGGGUGGCAGCAGUGAGGAAUAUUGGUCAAUGGCCGAGAGGCUGAACCAGCCAAGUCGCGUGAGGGAAGAAUGUCCUAUGGAUUGUAAACCUCUUUUGUCAGGGAGCAAAGUCACCCACGUGUGGGUGUUGGAGAGUACCUGAAGAAAAAGCAUCGGCUAACUCCGUGCCAGCAGCCGCGGUAAUACGGAGGAUGCGAGCGUUAUCCGGAUUUAUUGGGUUUAAAGGGUGCGUAGGCGGUCCGUUAAGUCAGCGGUAAAAUUGCGGGGCUCAACCCCGUCGAGCCGUUGAAACUGGCAGACUUGAGUUGGCGAGAAGUACGCGGAAUGCGCGGUGUAGCGGUGAAAUGCAUAGAUAUCGCGCAGAACUCCGAUUGCGAAGGCAGCGUACCGGCGCCAGACUGACGCUGAGGCACGAAAGCGUGGGGAUCGAACAGGAUUAGAUACCCGAGUAGUC
rnacentral:rRNA from 1 species